AGGCUAUCUCUUUCCCUUCCCCAAAUGCCAUUAAAAUUAAACAUAACAUUUAUUAUUUAUUUUAAAAAACAUUAAAGAUUUAGAAAACCCAAAACAUUUUUUCAAAACCCCCUUUUCCUUAAAAACAUUUUACCCUUUUGUUUUUUUUUAAAAAAACCUAAAAUUCUCUCUUCUCCCUCACUUCUCAGCCGAAGGGCUAAAACCCAGCUUUCAUUCGCCGCCUCAUACACGGCCGUAAACAGCCAUCGGAAGGCCGAAGUUCUCCCCCUUUUGCUAGCAAAUCGAAAGUUUCUGCCUAUUUCUUUGCUCAAGUCACAGGUGCUGUGAAAUCGUGGAGGAAGAGUGCAUGAUCGUGCAACGUGGGAGCUAGGAAUCCGUUCGUGGGUGUUGAAGCGUGGGAGUUGCGGCGUUGGCAAAUGGAACCCUAGGGUUUGCUAUUUUUUGAAAAAAUUUGGGUCAUUGGGCUUGUAAUCGGGCCUUUUAAUUUUAGUGAUUUGGGUCUGUAUCUUGGGCCGGGCAAAUUUUGGGCCCUACACCAGUAAAUAAAGUUUUAAGUUGUCCAUCUCUGUAAAUAAAGUUGGAAAUCAGCCUUUUUUAGUAAAAUAGUCGUGAAAAUUGAUUUUUUUUCUAUUAAAA